GGUCCCUGCACCUGUGAAUUUUCGUGUUCAAACGAGUGAUUAUUUGUCUUAUUUUAAUUUUUUUAUGAUUAAUAUUUUUUAUUGUCAUUAGAUGAUAAAACAUAAAUAAUAUUUUAUACGUCAUUUAUUUUUUAAAUUUUUUUCAUAAACUUUUUAAAUAAGACGGACAAUCAAAAGCUGUAUACGGAAACCGGUAACUGCACUUAAA
rfam:Oryza sativa (indica cultivar-group) chromosome 5, whole genome shotgun sequence.